rnacentral:rRNA from 1 species
AUUGAACGCUGGCGGCAUGCUUUACACAUGCAAGUCGAACGGUAACAGGCCGCAAGGUGCUGACGAGUGGCGAACGGGUGAGUAAUGCAUCGGAACGUGCCCAGUCGUGGGGGAUAACGCAGCGAAAGCUGUGCUAAUACCGCAUACGAUCUGUGGAUGAAAGCGGGGGACCGAAAGGCCUCGCGCGAUUGGAGCGGCCGAUGUCAGAUUAGGUAGUUGGUGGGGUAAAGGCUCACCAAGCCAACGAUCUGUAGCUGGUCUGAGAGGACGACCAGCCACACUGGGACUGAGACACGGCCCAGACUCCUACGGGAGGCAGCAGUGGGGAAUUUUGGACAAUGGGCGCAAGCCUGAUCCAGCAAUGCCGCGUGCAGGAAGAAGGCCUUCGGGUUGUAAACUGCUUUUGUACGGAACGAAAAGGCUCUGGUUAAUACCUGGGGCUCAUGACGGCACCGUAAGAAUAAGCACCGGCUAACUACGUGCCAGCCGCCGCAGUAACAC